rnacentral:piRNA from 1 species
UACUAACAGGAACCAAGACCACU